UGGGGAAUAUUGCACAAUGGGCGCAAGCCUGAUGCAGCCAUGCCGCGUGUAUGAAGAAGGCCUUCGGGUUGUAAAGUACUUUCAGUCGGGAGGAAGGUGUCAAGGUUAAUAACCUUGGCAAUUGACGUUACCGACAGAAGAAGCACCGGCUAACUCCGUGCCAGCAGCCGCGGUAAUACGGAGGGUGCAAGCGUUAAUCGGAAUUACUGGGCGUAAAGCGCACGCAGGCGGUUGAUUGAGUCAGAUGUGAAAUCCCCGGGCUUAACCCGGGAAUUGCAUUUGAUACUGGUCAGCUAGAGUCUUGUAGAGGGGGGUAGAAUUCCAUGUGUAGCGGUGAAAUGCGUAGAGAUGUGGAGGAAUACCGGUGGCGAAGGCGGCCCCCUGGACAAAGACUGACGCUCAGGUGCGAAAGCGUGGGGAGCAAACAGG
rnacentral:rRNA from 1 species